UUUAGUUUUCCUUUCAAGAGCCCAUAGAAGGUUUUGGGUGCCUUCUCAAUGCAGGCAUGAGAAAAUAUUAAGCAGAUGGACGGUGAACUUUGGUAUAUUCAAUCCUUAUGAGAGAAUGUUAUGUGGAAAAGUGGAAAAACAUAAGCUAUUUGACUAUGCUAUGUUUACAACUGGUUUGCUGUAUUUUGUGGACAAAAUUGGGGUAAAAAAUAAAAACUGUGUUAGGAUGAUGGGUAUACGGCUGAAUUUUCCAGGCAUUUCUCUAACAGCACCAAACCCUAUGUUUUAAUGCCACUGUGAACAAAGAAGAUCGGAACCCUAGCAACUCUUUUCGACGUUUUCUGGUCGGCGGUAAAAGCUCGGUUUCCGGCACUCCCGGAAGUUGCUGCAAGUCGUUUCCGCGGAGCGGGACUCCAAAUGGGUCGCAGUCGCAGCCGCUCUCCACGGAGGGAACGUAGGCGGUCCCGGUCCACAUCCCGGGAGAGAGAACGCAGGCGCCGGGAAAGGUCCAGGUCUCGGGAAAGAGAUCGGAGAAGGAGCCGCUCGCGAUCCCCGCACCGAAGACGCUCCCGAUCUCCAAGACGACAUAGAUCCACAUCUCCUUCCCCUUCUCGACUGAAAGAAAGAAGAGAUGAGGAAAAGAAAGAAACAAAAGAAACAAAGAGCAAAGAACGGCAGAUUACUGAGGAAGACUUAGAGGGCAAAACAGAAGAAGAAAUAGAAAUGAUGAAGUUAAUGGGGUUUGCCUCCUUUGACUCCACAAAAGGUAAGAAGGUAGAUGGCUCUGUAAAUGCCUAUGCCAUAAAUGUCUCUCAGAAGAGGAAGUACAGGCAGUAUAUGAAUCGGAAAGGUGGAUUCAACAGACCUUUGGAUUUCAUUGCAUGAGAAUUGAAAUGUUGAAGAAUGAUUUUUUUCCCCCUCAUCUUGGUCAGAGAGUGGAUUUUGUGUUUUGUAUUUAACUUGCAUUCAAAAAACAGGAUCUCAGUUCUUCCUUCUUGUAAAGAAAUAUCAUUUGUGGCAAACAUCAACCCCAUUUUAUUUGCCCUUAUUCCUGUGGAAGCAGUAUAUGUUUUCUUCUUGAAUGCUCAUUAGGACUUCUUUAAAAACAUGAAAGUAAUUUGGAAGCUCCAUACUUAGACGUGGCAUUGCUGAGUGAGAUUAAAAGGGCUGUGUAUCCAAGUUUUAAGACGUUUGAUAUCUGGCUAGAAGGUAAUAGCCAACUCUAUCCAGUAAAGUAUGAGCAUUCCUGUUUCAGAUACAUGCACAAAUAUUAGGUGUAAAAUUUGUUUUAAAGUUUCUUACCUGAUGGGUAAAAUACUGGUACUAUUUGUUUAUUUUGUUUUAUUUCUAGGGAGGCUGAAUAUUUUUUAAAUGUACUAGCCAUAUUUCUUUUGUGACAUGCCAAUUCUUAAUCUGGAUCUAUUAAUAUUUGUCUUUUGGCAGGUUUUUCUUUUUUUCAUUUGAAGAACACUUUUUAUAUUGAAUAUAAUAACCACCCAUUCUGUUGUAGACCUUGCUGGUAGUUGAGGCUUUGUGGCUAGAUUUUAACUUAUUUUUCUAAGUACUACAAACGAGGAACACAGUUGAGAUGAUACAAAGGGUAUCUAGUGAUGCAUUAAUUGUAUAUCCUUUCAGAGAUAUUCCACAUAUACACAAUCAUAUAUAUAUCUUUAAAGAUAGAAGCAAACUCUACAUACUGUUCUGCACCUAGUCUUUGUUCACAUGCAUCUUAAACAUCUUAUGAUGGUUUCUUACUUGUACUUGUAAAAUUAUCUCUAGUUUUUUAAUUUCUUUUUUUCUCUCUCUUUUUGACACAGAGUCGCUAUCACCCAGGCUGGAGGGCAGUGGUGCAAUCUCAGCUUACUACAACCUCUCUCUCCUGGACUCAAGCAAUUCUCUUGCUUCGGCCUCCUGAGUAGCUGGAAUUACAGGCAUACACCACCAUGCCUGGCUAAUUUUUGUAUUUUUGGUACAGACAGGGUUUCACCAUGUUAGCCAGGCUGGUCUCAAACUCCUGACCUCAGGUGAUCCACCUGCCUCAGCCUCCCAAAGUGCUGGGAUUACAGGCAUGAGCCACCACACCUGGCCUUAUUGCUAGAUUUUUAAGGGCUGUUUUAUAGUCCAUUGUAGGAUGGACCAUAAUUUAAUCCCCUGUUGAUGGACAUUCAAGUAAUUUCUAAGUUAUUUCUAAUCUUUUGCUACUUUAAACAAUUCUGUAAUGGUUAUCCUUGGAUGUACAUGAUUUUACAAAUCUUUAGCUAGGUUUUAAAAUAGUUAUCUGAAGUUUGACCAUCUAUUGUAGUUCUUUAAAAGCUUUCCUGACAAGUUAGUCCCUGUAAAGAAAAUAAUGAUAAUGACUGCAUUGUAUGCUACAGGGUGCAGAGCACCUUGAUUCACUUAAUGAGAUAAGUAGAGCAGGUACUAUUGUCUCCCAUUUCCCAGAUGAGAAAGCUAAUGCUAUUUAGCAUAAAGGCAGAAACUCUUGAUGUUUAUACUACCCACUGUCUUCAGUGUUUAAAUAAUGAAUUAUGUUGUACAACUUUGAAGUACCCAUUGCACAAUUGUCACUACCGCAAGCAUUUGGAUUAUUUUGCUUGGACUUUUUGCCAGCUAAGCUAAAUGGUUUUCCAUACCUCUACCCACCAAAACACUGUAUAUCUGCAAAGAAUCCAUGACAAGGACUGUUUCUGUUUUUAUAUAUACCUAAGAAAAGCAGACCUAAUCAUUAUUUAAUAGUGAAACUGAAUCUUCUAGGAUAGAAUAACAUACCCCAAACCAGAUUAUUACCUUAUCAUUUUAUUGGUGUGUUGCUAGAUAUUUGACUUGAAAUCCUUAAAGCAACAUAUAUUACAGAUAAAUGAUCUGAGAGAAUCUGGUAGGUCAACAGAUCUGCUGUCUGUGAGCAAACUAAAGAAACAGAAGAAGAGGGCCGGGCGCGGUGGCUCAAGCCUGUAAUCCCAGCACUUUGGGAGGCCGAGGCGGGUGGAUCACGAGGUCAAGAGAUCGAGACCAUCCUGGUCAACAUGGUGAAACCCCGUCUCUACUAAAAAUUACAAAAAAUUAGCUGGGCAUGGUGGCGCGUGCCUGUAAUCCCAGCUACUCAGGAGGCUGAGGCAGGAGAAUUGCCUGAACCCAGGGGGCGGAGGUUGCGGUGAGCCGAGAUUGCGCCAUUGCACUCCAGCCUGGGUAACAAGAGCAAAAACUCCGUCUCAAAAAAAAAAAAAAAAAAAAAAAAAAAGAAACAGAAGAAGAGUAAAUCUUUGAAAAUAGAGAAAAGAAACCUUUGAUCUCAAAAAUCUUGGUUUGAAGGAACUUUUAUUCAUUAGAUCAUCUAAUUCUGGAAGAAUAACCAAAGUGCAGCAUCCUUGUAUUCUUCCUCUAACAGGCUCACCCUCAUAGGGGAUGUAAAUUGUGCCAAGUUUUCUGAGUGUCUAAAUAUUAAGUGCUCCAGGGCUCAGUCCUUGGACUCUCCAAUCUCUGCUUUGGUGAAUAGUCCAUUUGUGUGGCUCAAACACCUUCUGCCAUGGCUCUCAAAUUUAUACUUCCAGUCGGACCAUUUUACUGAAUUACAGUCAUGUAUAUGCAACUAGAUUAGUAGGCACCUCAAAUUUAAGAUGAACUGAACUUAACUCUGCUCAGUCUUCUUUGAGGCUUUCCUGUCACAGUAAAUGGCCCUUUCAUUCACUCUGCUCAGACCAUGGUCCUUGAGGUCAUCUUGGACUUUUUAUUUUAUGCCUUAUAUCUGAUUCAUUAGCAAAUUCUUUUGGCUUUAACCUCAGAGUACAUUUUGAAUUUGACCGCUUUUAACCACCUGUGCUAACCUAAGCCAUCUCUCUUGCCUGGACUACUGCAGUAGCCUCCUAACAAGUCUCUCUCCUUUCACUCUUGCUGCUGUUUAUUCUCCACAAAUAUCAGAAGUAAACCUUUUAAAAUGCGCAUCAAGGCUGGGUGUAGUGGCUCAUGCCUGUUAUCCCAGCUCUUUGUGAGGCUGAGGCCAGCGGAUCACUUGAGGUCAGGAGUUUGAGACCAGUCUGGCCAAUAUGGUGAAACCUGGUCUCUACUAAAAAUUCAAAAAUUAGUUUGGUGUGGUGGCAUGCACCUGUAAUCCCAGCUACUCAAGAGGCUGAGGCAGGAGAAUUGCUUGAACUCAGGAGGCAGAGGCUGCAGUGAGCCUAGAUCUCACCACUGCAUUCCAGGCUGGGCAGCAGAGCGAGAUUUUUGUCUCUUAAUUAAUUAAUUAAUUAAAUGUGUGUCUAAUCACACUGCUCCUGGCUUCAGUUAUUUUUUUUUUUUAUCAUUUAGAACAAAGUUCAGUCCUCAGUAUGGUCUACAGGGCCUCCACAUGACCUAGACCCUGGUUUUCUACAGCCUCACUCCCUUGCUUACUGCACUGAGCUACACUGGCUGGACUCCUUGCUGUUCUUUCAAAACACGCAAGUGUCUACUCCCAGAGUCUUCUUACUUGAUCUUUCUUCCUUCUGGAAUGUUCCCCCACCUCCUUGAUUUGCACGAGUAGCUUUUUUACAUUGUUCAGCUCUCUUUCCAAACUAAGGUCAUUCCUGACCACCCUAUCCAAAAUAGCAAACUUUCUUACUUGUCUAUCCCUGUUUACUCUUAAAAAAAAAUUUUUUUUUUUCAGUUGAGAUAAAAUUUAUAUACCAUAAAAUUUACCCUUCUAAAGUUUAAAAUUUAGUGUUUUUUAGUAUAUUCAGAGUUAUGCAUCCAUCAUUCCUAAUUCCGGAAUGUUUUCAUAACCCCAGAAAGAAACCCCAUAUCCAUUAAAAAUCACUCUUCAAUCACCCCACCCCUAGAAACCACUAAUGUACUUCCUGUCUCUAUAGAUGUAUUCUGAACAUUUCAUAUAAAUGGAAAUCAUACAAUAUGUAGCCUUUUGUGUCUGGCUCCUUUCAUUUAGCAUAAUGUUUUCAAAGUUCUUCUGUGUUGUAGCAUCUGUCAGUACAUCCAUCAUUCUUUUUGGUCUCCAAAUAUUCCAUUCUAUAGUUACACCACAUUUCUGUUUGUAAUUCAUCAGUUGAUGACCAUUUGAGUUGUUUUUACUUCUUUACUAUUAGAGAUAAUGGUGCCACAGCCGGGCGUGGUGGCUCACGCCUAUAAUCCUAGCACUUUGGGAGGCUGAGGUGGGUGGAUCACUUGAGGUCAGGAGUUCAAGACCAGCCUGGCCAACAUGGUGAAACCUCAUCUCUACUAAAAAUACAAAAAUUAGCUGGACAUGGUGGCAUGUGCCUAUAAUCCCAGUUAGUUGGGAGGCUGAGGCAGGAGAAUCGAUUGAACUCAGGAGGCAGAGGUUGCAGUGAGCAGAGAUCACACCACUGCACUCCAGCCUGGGUGACAGAGUGAGACUCCAUCUCAAAAAAAAAGAAGUAAUAGUGCCAGAACAUAUAUAUACAAGUUUUGUAUGAACAUGUUUUCAGUUCUCCUGGGAGUAUGCUUAUGAGUGGAAUUGCUAGGUCAUAUGGAAACUAUGUUUACCUUAAAGCACUGUCAAACUGUCUUUCAAAGCAGCUGCACUUAUACAGUCCUAUCCACAAUAUGUGAGAGUUCCAGUUUCUCCUUGUGACUCUCCAAACCCUCCUUUACUUUCUUCACCACAUUUUUCACUGUCUGACAUACUCUAUAUUUAUUUAUUAUUGUCUGGUUCUUCCAUUAGACAGUGAGCUCAGAGAAGUGGGGCAUCUGUCGGGUUAGCUGCUGUAGCCCCAGCACCACACAGUGGCUGGCACAGAGUACAAUGCUCAAUUAAAUGUCUUGAAUUCGUGAAUAUAGUUCUGUAACCUUUUUUCACUAGCCAAGUCCCUUCAUUUUCAUUUUAUAUCUGAUUACCUUUAGUUACCCAGGUAUUGUACCUUGUAUUUAACUUGCAUUCAAAAAAACAGAAUCUCAGUUCUUCCUUCUUGUAAAGUAAGAAAAUCUUAUUUAUGAUGUAUGUAGUUCACUUACCUUGCCUCAAUAAAAGAAAGGUUAAGUAUUAUGUUUUUAUCUUUUAGGAAAUAUCAUUUGUGGCAGGCGUCUUUCUUGUAAAAAUCUUAAAACAUUAUUACAAAGCUAAACACCUUUUGAACAGUACUCAGAAUGUUAUUGCCCUUCUUACUGUUAAUCCUUUGCUUUGUAUUUUUUGUCCAUGCCCGUAUGUAUGUAACAGAGUAGGAAAUGGGGAAAAUACAUAGUUUGGGCCUUUAAAAAGAAAAUGCUGUAAGGAUCAUUUUGCAACUUAUUUACUCAAUGCUGUGCCUUGGGGAUCUUUUCUUGCCUGUAUAUGUAAAUCUACCUUUUUAAAACCUACUGCAGUGGCCAGGCACAGUGGCUGUAACCCAGCACUUUGGGAGGCCAAGGCAGGUGAAUCACCUGAGGUCAGGAGUUAAAGAGCAGCCUAGCCAACGUGGUGAAACCCCGUCUCUACCAAAAAAAAAAAAAAAAUAGAACAUGUAGCUGGGUAUGGUGGUGAGUGCCUGUAAUCCCAGCUACUUGGGAGGCUGAGGCAGGAGGAUCGCUUGAACCUGGGAGGUGGAUGUUGCGGUGAACCAGGAUUGCACUAUUGCAUUCCAAUCUGGGCAACAUGAGAGGAACUCCAUCUCAAAAUACAAAACAAAAUAAAAUAAACCCUGCUGUAUAGUGUUUUGUGUGAUGUACAUAUGACAGUUUAGCCAUUGCCUUUUUUUUGUUUCUUUUUUUUUUUUAACCACUCCAUUCUGUGGCUGGAGUACAGUGGUAUGAUCACAGCUCACUGGAGCCUCAACUUCUUGGGCUCAAACAGUUCUCCUGCCUCAGCCUCCCAAGUAGCUGGGACUAUAGGCCACACCACAACACUCAGCUAAUUUAUUUUUUUAGUAGAGUGAGGUCUCACUAUGUUGCCCAGUCCGGUCUCAAACUCCUGAGCUCAAGCAGCCCUCCCAUCUCAGCCUCCCAAAGUGCUGAGAUUGCAGGCAUGAGCCACGGCCCCAGGCCAUUGCCUCAUUUUCUAAACCAGAGAUUUGUAGAGUGACUAAUUUUUGCAAAGCAGCAUUUUUAAAGCUUUUUAAAAUUAGUAUGAUGUUAGAUACCAUAUUAGUGUGUCUAAAGUAGCCACAAAUAAAGAGAUGAUACUGUUGAGGCAGAAACUUGAAAUACUGAUUUAUAUACUUCGAGGAACAAAAUUCCUCAAAACCUUAUAAGACAAAAUUUAUUUUAAUGUCAUAGUAGUUAGAAGGUAUCAAACUCAGUUAUAAAUGGUGGGUUUUAAUUCCCGCAGUGAUAGAACCUUUUAGGCACUUAAGGAUUAUAAUAAUGCAACAAUUGUCUUCCAUGCCACUCUGAGGUGCUCUCUAAAGUGACAUCUCUGGCAGAACUCCAUGAGCCUGCUGCUUGCUCAGCAUUAGCAUUUACCUCUUAAUAUACUGUCCUAUUGGCUGGGCGUGGAGGCUCACACCUGUAAUCCCAGCACUUUGGGAGGCCGAGAUGGGCAAAGAGGUCUCCACAAGGUCAGCAGAUCAAGACCAGCCUGCCUAACACGGUGAAACCUCAUCUCUACCUAAAAAUAGAAAAAAUUAACCGGGUAUGGUGGCACGUGCCUGUAGUCUCAGCUACUUGGGAGGCUGAGGCAGGAGAAUCACUUGAACCCGGGAGGCCAAGGUUGCAGUGAGUGAGAUUGUACCACUGCACUCCAGCCUGGGUGACAGAGUGCGAGUCCGUCUCAAAAUAUAUAUAUUUUUUUUUCCCGUGUCCUUUGGCCAUCUGGAUUAUAAGCUCCCCAGAGGAGACUGGGCAGAGGUUUACUUGGCAGUGAAGAUUAUCUGACAAGUCUAAUAUUUUAUGUCUUUGUAAUUUCCCAUUUUCAAGUAUAUAUCUCACUUAGUUUAUCUUGAUAUAUGCUCAAAUAUAUAAACCAUUGUCAUCCAUGUGUAUGCUAUUACAUAUAGCUUUUUAUUUAAAGUUCUGGUCAUAAAACUCAGGUUAAAACAUUCUAGAAUUCCCUACUUCUAUUUUUGGAGCUGUGCCUUUUAGUCAAUGCUUAUUUCAGGCCUUUGAGGCACUAGGUAUUGAGAGUCACCACUUCUUCAUUAUCUUAGGAUUUUCAGUUCUGUCUUCAAAAUUUAUACUUUCAGGUUUUCCUAAUUAACUGGUCAUCCCAUACAUUUGUGUAAAAUAAUUUCUAGGAACACUCCAAAUCUCAAAACCUUUUAGACUUACUACUUCAUUUCCAGUAGAUGGCACCAAAUACUCUUUGAAGUUCUUCAUUAUACUAAGUCCUAGUUGGUGUUGCUGGCUAGUUGGUAAUUUCAUCCAUUACCAAGGAACAAACAUGGUCCAGUCUUUAGUCUGAUUCUCUAAUUUUUACAUAAUGUAGUAUUUUUGUUUGUAGUGUAAGCUGGACUUGUUGACAUUUAAAUUAUUUGCUGUUUCUGGCUCGGAAUUCAACCUUUUCCCCCCUUUUUAAGACAAAAAUGUCUGAAUUUUGAUCAGGGUGACUGUAGAGGAAGGGUCAUGAUAUUGAAGUUGCACUUGCACGGUGGCUCACGCCUAUAAUCCCAGCACUUUGGGAGGCUAAGGCAGGUGGCUCACGAGGUCAAGAGAUCGAGACCAUCCUGGUCAACAAGGUGAAAGCCCGUCUCUACUAAAAAUACAAAAAAAACAAAAAAAAAUAGAAAAAAUUAGCUGGGCAUGGUGGUGCAUGCCUGUAGUCCCAGCUACUCGGGAGGCUGAGGCAGGAGAAUUGCUUGAACCCAGGAGGCGGAGGUUGCGGUGAGCUGAGAUCCUGCCAUUGCACUCCAUCCAGUCUGGGUAACAACAGCGAAACUGCGUCUCAAAAAAAAUAAAUAAAGAGUAAGAAUAAAGAGAUAUGCUAAAUAUUCGUAAUAAAAUCAAAGAGAAAACAUAUACAAAAUCCAAAAUGUCAGGAUAAUGAAAUCAAAGUAUUUUUAGUAUUAUCAGUUUGGGUAUUUUAGUAGAAUUGCACUUGUUUAUGAUUUUCACGUUUGUUUUACAAAUAACAUGCAAGUUAAAAAUACUCUUUAAAAACUGUUAGAUCCUUUUGUAGUGCGUAAACGUGGUAAUUAGGUGUUCACAUUGUAUGUGUGGGAUGUGCCUCCCAAACAGCUUGUGAAAAAAAAAACUUAUAUUUCUACCUUCAUUUCCAACUUUGUAUUGUGCUUUGAAAACCUUCACCUUCAGUAUGUGUAUUUCAUUAGUAUUUUUGUAAAUAAUCAGUUUUUAGAUCCAGUUAGCCAUCGAAACCAGAAUAUGCCUAUAUAUCUAUCAGGCAUGAUUAAUUACAUUAAUUACAUUUAUUCUAUUUACUCUGAGUUGAUUUAAUUUUAGUGGGUUUGUGAACCAUUUAAAAAUACAUGUUUGUUAUAUUCAUAUAAAAAUUAAUAUACCAUCAUUAUAUUAAGUACUUGAGUUUUGAGUCAAGUGUUUUGUGACCCAGUCUGGAAAUCUGUUUAAACUACCUUGUCUUUAUGCAACUAUCAACAGGAGGAUUGGUAAUUUGAGCUCCAGGUGAGACAGACCUAGGUUGUUUCAUGUCUGCAGCUAAAUGCAUGACAAGGAAAAUCAUUUAGUCUCCCUGGGCCUCAGUUUCCUCAGGUGCAAAAUGUAAUUAACACAACCUACCUCAUGGGGUUAUAUUGAAGAUUAGAGAUAAUGUAGGUACGAUACCUACACAUAGUAAGCUAUUAUAUAUUGGCGACAAUAAUAAACUUUUUAAAAAAGAAA